UGCCCCUGGCCGGGCUGCCGGGGCGGUGCCGGCCCGGGCCGUGCCCCUGGCCGGGCUGCCGGGGCGGUGCCGGCCCGGGCCGUGCCGGGCGGGGCGGGUCCCACGCCGCUCUUCCCCCCGCCCUGAGGCCAGACAAGAUGGCGGCGGGGCGGAGGCUCGCGGCCGCAGGCGGUGCCGGGCCCGGCUCGCUGCGCGGCCUCCCUGGCACAGCUCAGGCAGCCCGGCCGGGACCCCGUUCCUUCCCUUACCCCGUUAAACGAGGAGCUGCAGCGUGUGUUCUGUUUGCAGCGCUGAAAUGGCACCGGGACAUUUGGGCGCCGACGGACGAAAGCGGAUAGUGCCCUGGUGCGCUGAAGGGCUGAACAAGGAUCAGUGCUAUCGUAAACAAGUACGCAGGCAGCAUCAAGAGAGAAUAGGAUUUGUUGCACCGACACUGAACCAAGACUAAGCUUCAGCCUUUAUAUGGAACUGCUGAAAGAGGAAGCUGCAGUACUUGCAGAGAAAGCAGUCAGUUUUGACUGCACGAGACCAUGCCUCUCACAGAAGGCAAAUGAUGUCUUACUUCGAAAACUUUAUGAAAUGCAAACUCAUUGAUUCACUGUUCUUAGAAUUGUUACACUUGAGUAACUGGAGACAGGGAAAGUUACAGUUCCUAUUCAUAUCAAAUUAAGAUUUAUAGUUUGAUUUACUCUGAAGACUACAGAAGUAAAAAGAAAAAAAGGCAUAAACAUUAUUUUAGCAUUCUUUUAGAGGGGCUUUUUUCUCCUGCUAGCAGAAAGAGCUUUUUAGAUAAAUGGUAAGCUAAAACUUAACAAGUAGAGAACAGAACUUAGAGAGUAAAAUUUUUUCACAGCUAGAAAAAGCCUCUGAAAAUGUGAAGUUGCCAAUAAAAAGGAAUGCAACAGCUAAGUACAUAAUACAGCAAUACUUGUGUAUUAUUGCAACAGCAAUAAUAGAUUUCUAUCACUAAAUCAGUAGAACACUAACUGCUUACAAAGGUGAGCUGUGACCUCACGUUAGUUACCGUGCUCCACGCAUUGAGUGCUUGUAAUUGUAUCUUCACCUCUGACUACAGAAGUAAGGUGUGCUUCAGGUUGUAAACUUGGGCACUUUUCAUGACUGAAAUGACAGGACCUUUUGCUCCACACUGUAUGUGUCUAGAUUAAGACAAAUGUAUGGUAACGUGUUCUGGUUUUACUCCACAGUGCUUCACAGUUGCCUGCAUGAUCUGGUAUUAGUACCACAUUUCCUUGGACAAGUAUCAGAACUUCAACUUGAACAAAGUGGAAUUAAGUUUUACUCAUUUUAGAGAGCACUCCUAUCCAACAUAUGGACAAGAUAGCAUGAAGAAGCACACUGCUUAAAUUGACAAUGAUUUAUUGUGUUUAGGAACAUUCAAUAAAUACCAAUCUUUCAGCUUCAGUUUGGAAAUCUUCCCCAUCAAAAAUCAGUUGUUUGUUCUUUUUCUGGCAUAAAUUCCAUUGCCAGCAAUGGAUGUAUCAAAAAAAGAAGUUAAUAAAUACAAACAGACAGCAGUUUUCUAAACAUACCUCCUCUUUUAAAGGCAUAAUACAGAUUUACUAAACAAAUCUCAAAACAAGUUCUUCACAGAAGAAAAUUUUGCUACAAGCUGUCUCUGAACAUUGUUUCCUUCACAAAUGCUGGUAUUUUAUUUCAUGGAGUAUGGUACUUUUGAACAGUAAUGAUGAAUCAUUUGAAAACAAGCCUUUUCCCCCUUUUCCUCUGCCAAAUGUAUGUUGAGACAUGUAGCUAGCACGGAACUGUAUGGAUUUAAGAGUAGUGUGCCUCUUGUGGAGCACUUCAUGGCAAACAUGAAGCAACAGCAACAUGGUACUUUUUUACUAGAGACCUGGGGGAUUUAUUUUUUCAUCUUGAUUUUAAACUGCUAUUCAAAUGUUAAAGGUAUCGUAUUUGGGUGUAACAGAUGUUUUGCGUAAUUUUCUGUGAAGUGUAAAAUCUUCAAUGGAAGAUUCCUGCUUGUGAUGAAAAUAAUUUUCAAGUACUUAAAUUUGAAUAUCCCUCUGAACUCCAUUCAUAUCUUAUUAAAAAUGUGUACAAAAGCAUGAAGACUACAGAAUACCAAUUAACAUAA